rnacentral:rRNA from 1 species
UACAGAGGGUGCAAACGUUGCUCGGAAUUAUUGGGCGUAAAGCGCGUGUAGGCGGCUUGUUAAGUCGGUUGUGAAAACCCAUGGCUCAACCAUGGAAGUGCGUCCGAAACUGGCAAGCUAGAGGAUGAUAGAGGUAAGUGGAACUCCGAGUGUAGAGGUGAAAUUCGUAGAUAUUCGGAAGAACACCAGUGGCGAAGGCGACUUACUGGAUCAUUACUGACGCUGAGGCUCGAAAGCGUGGGGAGCAAACAGG